rnacentral:rRNA from 1 species
UACGGAGGGUGCAAGCGUUAUCCGGAUUCACUGGGUUUAAAGGGUGCGUAGGCGGGCAGGUAAGUCAGUGGUGAAAUCUCCGAGCUUAACUCGGAAACUGCCAUUGAUACUAUUUGUCUUGAAUAUUGUGGAGGUAAGCGGAAUAUGUCAUGUAGCGGUGAAAUGCUUAGAUAUGACAUAGAACACCAAUUGCGAAGGCAGCUUACUAAACAAUGAUUGACGCUGAGGCACGAAAGCGUGGGGAUCAAACAGG